rnacentral:rRNA from 1 species
GACGGACGCUGGCGGCGUGCUUAACACAUGCAAGUCGAACGGAAAGGCCCUGCUUUUGUGGGGUGCUCGAGUGGCGAACGGGUGAGUAACACGUGAGUAACCUGCCCUUGACUUUGGGAUAACUUCAGGAAACUGGGGCUAAUACCGGAUAGGAGCUCCUGCUGCAUGGUGGGGGUUGGAAAGUUUCGGCGGUUGGGGAUGGACUCGCGGCUUAUCAGCUUGUUGGUGGGGUAGUGGCUUACCAAGGCUUUGACGGGUAGCCGGCCUGAGAGGGUGACCGGCCACAUUGGGACUGAGAUACGGCCCAGACUCCUAUGGGAGGCAGCAGUGGGGAAUAUUGCACAAUGGGCGGAAGCCUGAUGCAGCAACGCCGCGUGCGGGAUGACGGCCUUCGGGUUGUAAACCGCUUUCGCCUGUGACGAAGCGUGAGUGACGGUAAUGGGUAAAGAAGCACCGGCUAACUACGUG